AACGAACGCUGGCGGCGUGCUUCAUACAUGCAAGUCGAACGAGAAAUCCCGGGCUUGCUCGGGAUAGUAAAGUGGCAAACGGGUGAGUAACACGUGGGUAACCUGCUCUCAAAUUGGGGAUAACUCUGCCAACGCGGGGCUAAUACCGAAUGUCAUCCCGAUUUCGCAUGGUGUUGGGAUGAAAGUUGUUCAAUCAUGAAUGGCGUUUGAGAAGGGGCCCGCGGCCUAUUAGCUAGUUGGUGAGGUAAUGGCCCACCAAGGCGACGAUAGGUAGCCGGCCUGAGAGGGUGAACGGCCACACUGGGACUGAGAUACGGCCCAGACUCCUACGGGUGGCAG
rnacentral:rRNA from 1 species